AGUUUUACGCAGUGGCAAUAUCAUAGCCAAUGAGGUUUAUCCGAGGUGCGAUUAUUGCUAAUUGAAAAAAAAAAAAAGUAAGCUCUAGGCCCAAUGUAGGGCUCAAAUUCACAACCCCAAGAUC
rnacentral:snRNA from 2 species